ensembl:lncRNA
GAUACACAACUAUUUCUUCGAAGGCAGAGGAAUCCCUGGAGAAAGAACCUAUGAAUUACCGUUCUUUUUUUUAAUCUUUAAAAUGUUAGACUCACUUAGAGAUCACAGCUUGAUCACACGUUAGGUAUGGUGAAUGUUACCUGACAGAUGUAUUCUUCAGGCAUGUGGGAUCCCAUCUCCCCAACCAGGGAUCGAACUGGCACCCCCUGCAUUGGAAGAUUAAGUGUUAACCACUGGACGGACAGGGAAGUCCCUUUGUAGUGAGAUGUUAACCCCUCAGAACGUGUCCCUGACAAAAACGUCACAUUCACCAUAAAAAGCCCGUGGCCUUGGCCUCUGCCAGGCUCUCCUGUCAAUCAUGGGCUGCCUUUCAGAAGUAAGGACUUGAUGAGGUGGCCACUGAAUUGUUCAUCAGAACUUCCUGAUGAAGAAAGAAGGAAGAUCAUGAGCUCAGAUGCCCCGGGGCCUCAGCCAGUCUUCCAGAGCCAGGACCAACCUGGAAACCUGAUUAUCAGCAUCAGGCCCAGAGGGGAGGAGAUGUGGGAAGGAAGGGUGGGGAAAGUCAAUACCUGGGCCUUCUGGAGGGCCUCACUUGCUGAUAGAAUCAUCUACACCCUUUUUCUAGAUUGCACAAGCACCAGAGGAUUGAUGCUUUCCAACUGCGGUGCUGGAGAAGACUCGAGAGUCCCUUGGACUGCAAGGAAAUCAAACCAGUCAAUCCUAAAGGACAUCAGUCCUGAAUAUUCAUUGGAAGGAAGCUCCAACACUUUGGCCACCUGAUGCAAAGAACUGACUCAUUGGAAAACACCCUGAUGCUGGGAAAGAUUGAGGGCAGGAGGAGAAGGGGACAAUAGAGGCUGAGAUGGUUGGAUGGCAUCACCGAUGCAGUGGACAUGAGUUUGAGCAAGCUCCAAAGGAUAGUGGAAGACAGGGGAGCCUGGCAUGCUGCAGUCCACGGGGUCACAAAAAGUCAGACACGACUUAGCAAUUGAACAACAAUACAAUGUUUGAUUUUCUCUUUCUGACUUACUUCACUCUGUAUGACAGUCUCUAGGUGCACCCAAGUCUCAGCAAAUGGCACAAUUUCACUCCUUUAUUUGAAAUCAAGUUGGUUUUUUUUUUUUUUUUUUAAGGGAGAAAAACAGUGAAAGCAUUGAAAAACUAAGUCACUUGUCCUGAAAACCCAGAAGGAUGAUGGGGCUGCUUGAGGGGCCUGGUUUACCAGACACACCAACCGCAGAGGCAGGAGGGAUGGGAGCUGGACAGCUUCCCUGACAACGCAGGCUCUGGAGCCACGCUCAUCUUUAAUGCACGGCUGUGCUGUGUGCUCCUGACAUCUCAAGCGGGGAUGCGGGAGUCUGGGAUGCUCUCCCAGCCACUCUUGGCUCCCUGUGAGCAAUACCCUUCACAUCUCAUUAGACCUGCCUGCGUCCAUCUGGACCCUGUCAAUCUUGAUCCCGAGCAGGUGGGAGGGAGUAGGUGAGUGGAGGGAGGUGUAUGAGGCUCUGGAAAGAAGCAGGGCUGCCUGAGCCCCAAGACCAAAGUGGGUAAGAGUUUGGGCUUAAAUGAAAUGAAAUUGGAUCUGAGCUCCUCUACUAACUGUGUCAUUUUUGGCAAGUUAUUCAACCUCUCUGUAUCCCAGUUUCCUUAUUCAUAAAAUAGGGGCCACUAAAACUUACUGCACAAUUGGCUUUUAGGGGACUUGCCUAGGGGUCCAGUGGUUAAGACUCGCUUUCACUACAGGGGCGCAGGUUCAAACCCUGGUGGGGGGAACUAUGAUCCCUCAUGACAUCCAGCUUAAAAAAAAAAGAGGAAACUCAUUAAGAUGUAUGUGUUACAUGUGUGCAAUUUUGUGUAUCAACUAUAUCUGAAUAAAGCUUAUAAAAGAUUGGCUGUGAGGAUGAAACGAGCACGAGACAUGCAAGCCAGUACCUGGUACCCAGUGAGGCGUCAGCAAAUGAUAACUUAAAAAAUAUCCCCAGGGCUUCCCUGGUGGCUCAGUGGUAAAGAAUCCGCAUGCCAGUGCAGGAGACAAGGGCUUGAUCCCUGAUCCGGGAAGAUCCCAUAUGCUAUGUGGCAACUAAGCCCCUGUGUCACAACUACUGAGCCUGUGCCUAGAGCCUGGGAGCUCCAACUAUUGAGCCCAAGAGCCGCCACUACUGAAGCCGGAGCGCUCUAGAGCCUGUGCUCCGCAGGAGAGGCCACGAUAACCAGAAGCCAGAGCACUGCAACUAGAGAGCAGCCCGGUCACUGCAAUUAGAGAAAAACCCUCACAGCAAGGAAGAUCCAGCAC